rnacentral:tRNA from 1 species
GUGGGUGUAGCUCAGUGGCAGAGCAUUUGCCUAGCAUGUGCAAGGUCCUGGGUUCCAUCCCCAGUACCCCA